UACGUAGGGUGCAAGCGUUGUCCGGAAUUAUUUGGCGUAAAGAGCUUGUAGGCGGUCUGUCGCGUCUGCUGUGAAAACCUAGGGCUUAACCCUGGGCCUGCAGUGGGUACGGGCAGACUAGAGUGCGGUAGGGGAGACUGGAAUUCCUGGUGUAGCGGUGAAAUGCGCAGAUAUCAGGAGGAACACCGGUGGCGAAGGCGGGUCUCUGGGCCGUAACUGACGCUGAGGAGCGAAAGCAUGGGGAGCGAACAGG
rnacentral:rRNA from 1 species